UACGGAGGGUGCGAGCGUUAAUCGGAGUUACUGGGCGUAAAGCGCGCGUAGGCGGUUCGCUAAGUCAGCCGUGAAAGCCCUGGGCUUGACCUGGGAACUGCGGUUGAUACUGGCGGGCUGGAGUGUGGCAGAGGGCGGCGGAAUUUCCGGUGUAGCAGUGAAAUGCGUAGAGAUCGGAAGGAACACCAGUGGCGAAGGCGGCCGCCUGGGCCAACACUGACGCUGAGGUGCGAAAGCGUGGGGAG
rnacentral:rRNA from 1 species